CUCACCCCGGGUAACCUGGCGGUUCCUCCGCCGCCAGCGCCUCAGAGCGGGGCCGCUGCCCCGAGCCCUCCGGGGACCGCGCUGAACCCGUCCCGUCAGGGCUCCGGGGCUCGGUGUGCUCGUCUUCUCAGUGACGAGGGUGAUCCAAACCCCUGGGCCCACCCUUGCCCUCACCCCGGGGCAGAGAGGCCAAACUCAGCCCGGCCAUCAUCUCAGCCCUUCCCUCGGCCGCCUCAGGCGCACCCGGCAGCGAGGACAACGCUGAGGGGCCACCAGGGGAAGAGCGAGGAGCGGAGUUGCACAGGACAAGAGCUGCGACAGUCAGGCUAUAAACUUGCACAUGGAAAUUAAAUUACAGAUCUGGGAAAAUAUUCAAGAGAUCAUCUGAGUUGAACAGGACAGGAACAUGUGGCUCCAAGGACCCAGGGAACACAACACACACUCCACUUGCAUGGAUAAGCAAGACACAGCCCCAAAUGGAUGCAACCAGGCCUUCACUGUCAGCAGGAACCAGCUGGGGGAAGCACCUAAUGAAAGAGCAGCUAUGGGAUACUGAGCUCUUCCCAAAAGAUCCCACAGAGACAGAUCCCUGCUGGCUUGGCUGGCAGGAGGAGAUACUCACAGGAACUGCUGAUUGUCUUCUCAAUCAUGUUAAAGAUUUAACCCUUAGUUCCAGUCUGUGGCUCACAUGAACACUUGCAGACAAACAAGAGGCCAUUUCUGCACCAUCUUAAUCCUCCAAAGCAGGGAUAAAGUCCUAAAAUGCAUCUUCUGCAGCUGGGAAGCAUCUGAGACCCAAACUCCUGUUCUGAGUUGUAGUAAUCUGCAUAUGAGGGCUAUGGAGAAUGUUUUGACCUUCAUGCUAACCCACUGCAACUAAAUCUGACAGUAUCAUUUCUGCUCCUUAUUAAUCACAUCUUGAUUUUCUCUGUUUUGUAAGCAUCCUGGCAAUAAACACUUUGUCUAGGUCUAUUCACCUCA